AGCUCCCAGAACACCAUCUCCCGCUUGGCAUGACUUUGGUUGGGGUCUCAGUAAGUGGUGAAAGUGAUGAAAAUGCUGCUUUGGGUAGCUGGAUUCGCAGUUUGAACAAUAUCAAGCUUAAAGAUGUGAUAGGGCGUUGUCCAGCAAGGGGAGUAUUUGUAUUGAGGAGCUGAUAGGGAGGCUUUUCUGAUGAGGAUAUAGAGCAUACACGCUGAAGACUGGCUACUACGCAUGGAAGAUCCAGGAAGUGAUGCCGAUUCAGAAACAUAAUUGGAGGAUGGUUUUUGUGCACCCCAAGCUGGGGGUUUGCAUUUUCUUUUCCUUUUUUGGUGGACAAUACAAACUACGCGCUGAUCAAUGUAUAUUAGACGAUUCAGGUAUAAACAUGUUAGUAGACAUAUAAACUGUGGACCCAUGUCCCAAAAUUCAGAAACAGUUGCCAUCAGGA